GGGUUGUGAGGUUAAGCGACUAAGCGUACACGGUGGAUGCCCUGGCAGUCAGAGGCGAUGAAGGACGUGCUAAUCUGCGAUAAGCGUCGGUAAGGUGAUAUGAACCGUUAUAACCGGCGAUUUCCGAAUGGGGAAACCCAGUGUGAUUCGUCACACUAUCAUUAACUGAAUCCAUAGGUUAAUGAGGCGAACCGGGGGAACUGAAACAUCUAAGUACCCCGAGGAAAAGAAAUCAACCGAGAUUCCCCCAGUAGCGGCGAGCGAACGGGGAGCAGCCCAGAGCCUGAAUCAGUGUGUGUGUUAGUGGAAGCGUCUGGAAAGGCGUGCGAUACAGGGUGACAGCCCCGUACACAAAAAUGCACAUGCUGUGAGCUCGAUGAGUAGGGCGGGACACGUGGUAUCCUGUCUGAAUAUGGGGGGACCAUCCUCCAAGGCUAAAUACUCCUGACUGACCGAUAGUGAACCAGUACCGUGAGGGAAAGGCGAAAAAGAACCCCGGCGAGGGGAGUGAAAAAGAACCUGAAACCGUGUACGUACAAGCAGUGGGAGCCUCUUUAUGGGGUGACUGCGUACCUUUUGUAUAAUGGGUCAGCGACUUAUAUUCUGUAGCAAGGUUAACCGAAUAGGGGAGCCGAAGGGAAACCGAGUCUUAACUGGGCGUUAAGUUGCAGGGUAUAGACCCGAAACCCGGUGAUCUAGCCAUGGGCAGGUUGAAGGUUGGGUAACACUAACUGGAGGACCGAACCGACUAAUGUUGAAAAAUUAGCGGAUGACUUGUGGCUGGGGGUGAAAGGCCAAUCAAACCGGGAGAUAGCUGGUUCUCCCCGAAAGCUAUUUAGGUAGCGCCUCGUGAAUUCAUCUCCGGGGGUAGAGCACUGUUUCGGCAAGGGGGUCAUCCCGACUUACCAACCCGAUGCAAACUGCGAAUACCGGAGAAUGUUAUCACGGGAGACACACGGCGGGUGCUAACGUCCGUCGUGAAGAGGGAAACAACCCAGACCGCCAGCUAAGGUCCCAAAGUCAUGGUUAAGUGGGAAACGAUGUGGGAAGGCCCAGACAGCCAGGAUGUUGGCUUAGAAGCAGCCAUCAUUUAAAGAAAGCGUAAUAGCUCACUGGUCGAGUCGGCCUGCGCGGAAGAUGUAACGGGGCUAAACCAUGCACCGAAGCUGCGGCAGCGACACUGUGUGUUGUUGGGUAGGGGAGCGUUCUGUAAGCCUGUGAAGGUGUGCUGUGAGGCAUGCUGGAGGUAUCAGAAGUGCGAAUGCUGACAUAAGUAACGAUAAAGCGGGUGAAAAGCCCGCUCGCCGGAAGACCAAGGGUUCCUGUCCAACGUUAAUCGGGGCAGGGUGAGUCGACCCCUAAGGCGAGGCCGAAAGGCGUAGUCGAUGGGAAACAGGUUAAUAUUCCUGUACUUGGUGUUACUGCGAAGGGGGGACGGAGAAGGCUAUGUUGGCCGGGCGACGGUUGUCCCGGUUUAAGCGUGUAGGCUGGUUUUCCAGGCAAAUCCGGAAAAUCAAGGCUGAGGCGUGAUGACGAGGCACUACGGUGCUGAAGCAACAAAUGCCCUGCUUCCAGGAAAAGCCUCUAAGCAUCAGGUAACAUCAAAUCGUACCCCAAACCGACACAGGUGGUCAGGUAGAGAAUACCAAGGCGCUUGAGAGAACUCGGGUGAAGGAACUAGGCAAAAUGGUGCCGUAACUUCGGGAGAAGGCACGCUGAUAUGUAGGUGAAGCGACUUGCUCGUGGAGCUGAAAUCAGUCGAAGAUACCAGCUGGCUGCAACUGUUUAUUAAAAACACAGCACUGUGCAAACACGAAAGUGGACGUAUACGGUGUGACGCCUGCCCGGUGCCGGAAGGUUAAUUGAUGGGGUUAGCGCAAGCGAAGCUCUUGAUCGAAGCCCCGGUAAACGGCGGCCGUAACUAUAACGGUCCUAAGGUAGCGAAAUUCCUUGUCGGGUAAGUUCCGACCUGCACGAAUGGCGUAAUGAUGGCCAGGCUGUCUCCACCCGAGACUCAGUGAAAUUGAACUCGCUGUGAAGAUGCAGUGUACCCGCGGCAAGACGGAAAGACCCCGUGAACCUUUACUAUAGCUUGACACUGAACAUUGAGCCUUGAUGUGUAGGAUAGGUGGGAGGCUUUGAAGUGUGGACGCCAGUCUGCAUGGAGCCGACCUUGAAAUACCACCCUUUAAUGUUUGAUGUUCUAACGUAGACCCCUAAUCGGGGUUGCGGACAGUGUCUGGUGGGUAGUUUGACUGGGGCGGUCUCCUCCUAAAGAGUAACGGAGGAGCACGAAGGUUGGCUAAUCCUGGUCGGACAUCAGGAGGUUAGUGCAAUGGCAUAAGCCAGCUUGACUGCGAGCGUGACGGCGCGAGCAGGUGCGAAAGCAGGUCAUAGUGAUCCGGUGGUUCUGAAUGGAAGGGCCAUCGCUCAACGGAUAAAAGGUACUCCGGGGAUAACAGGCUGAUACCGCCCAAGAGUUCAUAUCGACGGCGGUGUUUGGCACCUCGAUGUCGGCUCAUCACAUCCUGGGGCUGAAGUAGGUCCCAAGGGUAUGGCUGUUCGCCAUUUAAAGUGGUACGCGAGCUGGGUUUAGAACGUCGUGAGACAGUUCGGUCCCUAUCUGCCGUGGGCGCUGGAGAACUGAGGGGGGCUGCUCCUAGUACGAGAGGACCGGAGUGGACGCAUCACUGGUGUUCGGGUUGUCAUGCCAAUGGCACUGCCCGGUAGCUAAAUGCGGAAGAGAUAAGUGCUGAAAGCAUCUAAGCACGAAACUUGCCCCGAGAUGAGUUCUCCCUGAGACUUUAGAGUCUCCUGAAGGAACGUUGAAGACGACGACGUUGAUAGGCCGGGUGUGUAAGCGCAGCGAUGCGUUGAGCUAACCGGUACUAAUGAACCGUGAGGCUUAACCUUACAACGCCGAAG
rnacentral:rRNA from 1 species